rnacentral:rRNA from 1 species
UGGGGAAUUUUGGACAAUGGGCGAAAGCCUGAUCCAGCAAUGCCGCGUGUGUGAAGAAGGCCUUCGGGUUGUAAAGCACUUUUGUCCGGAAAGAAAUCCUUGGCUCUAAUACAGUCGGGGGAUGACGGUACCGGAAGAAUAAGCACCGGCUAACUACGUGCCAGCAGCCGCGGUAAUACGUAGGGUGCAAGCGUUAAUCGGAAUUACUGGGCGUAAAGCGUGCGCAGGCGGUUUGCUAAGACCGAUGUGAAAUCCCCGGGCUCAACCUGGGAACUGCAUUGGUGGCUGGCAGGCUAGAGUAUGGCAGAGGGGGGUAGAAUUCCACGUGUAGCAGUGAAAUGCGUAGAGAUGUGGAGGAAUACCGAUGGCGAAGGCAGCCCCCUGGGCCAAUACUGACGCUCAUGCACGAAAGCGUGGGGAGCAAACAGGAUUAGAUACCCUGGUAGUCCACGCCCUAAACGAUGUCAACUAGUUGUUGGGAUUCAUUUCCUUAGUAACGUAGCUAACGCGUGAAGUUGACCGCCUGGGGAGUACGGUCGCAAGAUUAAAACUCAAAUGAAUUGACGGGGUCAAU